GCCGGAGUGGUGAAACUGGUAGACACGCAGCGUUCAGAGCGCUGUCCUGCUUGCAGGGUGGGAGUUCAAGUCUCCCCUCCGGCACCA
rnacentral:tRNA from 1 species